AUGAGACAGAGCACACGAUUCACGCUCAAGGGAGAACGAGGUAGCAUGCAUUCUGGCAAGACGCACAUUCAGCCAAGACUUGAGAGAAACCUGGCAGCCGUCUCCAAGUCUGGCACGAUUUCACCUCAGACGCACUCGGUUGGUUUGGAUGUUGAGGGAGACCGCACAAGAGAGAGGGAAAAGGAGGAAAAGAGCUGGGGAGCAAAGCUACCGCUCAGCUGCCGCCGCAGAGAGCACGCCCGCGGCCUCUCAGCCAGGGGAUCUGGCUCCACCUACAGGAAUCAGAAGGCAAACCUAGUAGACGCCUCGGCGUCUGCAGGAACCCGAAAUCCAGAUGGUGAGAAAAGAGUAAAAAGCAGACCUUCAACUUGGUCAAGACGAUUGCCUGAAAAUUUCCGCUUACCUUUCCUGUUUAAACCUGGAUUUGCAGAUGAAUGUGAGGUGAUCUGCUUUUCUGUGAUUCAGAACUUCAUAGAACUUGGCAGGCAAAGAAUUACAAAGAAAGGAAGAAAACGAAAGGGGGAAUUGAAGACAAAACCUUAUAAAGCCUUGGCGGCUCCUUCCCCCUUUAUCAGGGACUUAGUUCAUGAUCAGGAGGCUCACAGAGUACUAGAAGGGAGGGUCCGAGUCCAGCCGGGAGGACUGCGGCAUGGAGGGCAGCCUAGGGCGUGCUGUGUUUGUGCUGACGCUGGCCUCCUGGCCUCCCUGCUGCCGCCGAGCUCCGUACUGGUCCUAAACACCCGCAACGAGGAUGCCCUGUGGCAGCUGGAGGCUGAGCUGGGCGCCAGGCGGUCUGGCUUGCACGUGGUGCGGGUGCGCGCAGACCUGGGCGCCGAGGCUGGCUUGCAGUCCACUGCUUGGUGCCCUGCGUCAGCUCCCCAGGCCCGAGGGGCUGCAGCGACUGCUGUUCAUCAACAGCGCAGGCUCUCCUGGGGAUGUGUCCAAAGGCUUCGUGGACCUGGGUGACUCCACUCAAGUGAACAAAGACUGGGCGCUGGACUUGACCUCCAUGCUCUCUCUGCCGGACUUGCAGCGUCUUGAAGGCCUUCCCAACCAGUCCUGGCCUCAACAGAACUGUGGUUAACAUGUCAACCCACUGUGCCCUGCAGCCCUUCAAAGACUGGGCGCUCUACUGUGCGGGAAAGGCUGCUGCUAACAUACUGUUCCAGGUCCUGGCGUCGGAUGAACCUAAAGUGAGGGUGCCGAACUAGGUAGGCCCCAGGUGCUCCCGACACAGACGUGCCCCAGCGGUUAGCCCGGUAGACCUCCCAUGGACUCAGACAUGCGAAAAGGCUGCAGGAGUUGAAGGCAAAGGGAGAGCUGGUGGAUUGCAGGGUGUCAGCCCAAAAAUGGCUGAGCUUGCUGCAAAAGGAGGUGUUCAAGUCUGGAGACCACGUGGAUUUCUACGAUAAAUAAACCCAUGUGUUUGGCUUCCUGAACCUUUCUGCUCGCACUUUCAGACACACCCCAGAGCCCCGUGGCUCCCCACACCCUCCCACGGUGCAGUCCUGCCUUGCACAGAUAAACACUCAUGUCUACUGUCCUACCCUCACACAUAGCCUGCUGUGAUGAGCUUCCAGGUCGCUGGCCUUACCAGUUGUCGGGAGUCUGGACUUGGCACCCUGGAUUAUGAGGAGGCUUAGGAGAGAGGUUAUGGGUGUCCCUGUGUCUAUCCCCAGGAAUAGAAUUUAAGGGAUGGGAAGAGCAGGAAAAGAAGCUGAAACACACAAGAGAGGAGGUUGUGUCUCCUGCUCAUAGCUAGUCCAUGGGCAGAGGGAAGAGUGACCUGAGUCAAAUAGGAGGACACAUGCAGAUUCACAGAUGGCCUGGCGGGGAGGAAGAGCAGAAGGUACAAGUCCCCGCCCACACAGAUGUCCCUUGCUGAAGGGAGCAGCACCUUCUGUUGAACUUUGUGUCCUCACUCUGAUGUCUCCUUCCUCCAGAAUCCACCACCCCUCCCCCAGGCUGGGAGAAGGGGCCCUUGGGUGUCUGUGUACAUGGCCAAGGCAGAUACAAAUAAAAUU